GAUGAACGCUAGCGGCAGGCUUAAUACAUGCAAGUCGAGGGGCAGCGCGGGUAGCAAUACCUGGCGGCGACCGGCAAACGGGUGCGGAACACGUACGCAACCUUCCCAUAACUGGUGAAUAGCCCUCCGAAAGGAGGAUUAAUACACCGUAACAUAACGAAGAGGCAUCUUUUUGUUAUUAUAGUAGCAAUACGGUUUUGGAUGGGCGUGCGCCUGAUUAGGUAGUUGGCGGGGUAACGGCCCACCAAGCCUGCGAUCAGUAACUGGUGUGGGAGCACGACCAGUCACACGGGAACGGAGACACGGGCCCGACUCCUACGGGAGGCAGCAGUAAGGAAUAUUGGUCAAUGGACGAAAGUCUGAACCAGCCAUGCCGCGUGAAGGAUUAAGGCCCUCUGGGUUGUAAACUUCUUUUAUCUGGGACGAAAAAAGGGCAUUCUUGCUCACUUGACGGUACCAGAGGAAUAAGCACCGGCUAACUCCGUGCCAGCCGCCGCCGUAA
rnacentral:rRNA from 1 species